rnacentral:rRNA from 1 species
AUUGAACGCUGGCGGCAGGCCUAACACAUGCAAGUCGAGCGGUAGAGAGAAGCUUGCUUCUCUUGAGAGCGGCGGACGGGUGAGUAAUGCCUAGGAAUCUGCCUGAUAGUGGGGGAUAACGUCCGGAAACGGACGCUAAUACCGCAUACGCCCUACGAGCGAAAGGGGGGGCUCGUCGGACCUCACGCUAUCAGAUGAGCCUAGGUCGGAUUAGCUAGUUGGUGGGGUAAAGGCUCACCAAGGCGACGAUCCGUAACUGGUCUGAGAGGAUGAUCAGUCACACUGGAACUGAGACACGGUCCAGACUCCUACGGGAGGCAGCAGUGGGGAAUAUUGGACAAUGGGCGAAAGCCUGAUCCAGCCAUGCCGCGUGUGUGAAGAAGGUCUUCGGAUUGUAAAGCACUUUAAGUUGGGAGGAAGGGUCGUUACCUAAUACGUGACGAUUUUGACGUUACCGACAGAAUAAGCACCGGCUAACUCUGUGCCAGCCGCCGCAGUAACAC